AGUGAACGCUGGCGGUAGGCCUAACACAUGCAAGUCGAACGGCAGCACAGUAAGAGCUUGCUCUUACGGGUGGCGAGUGGCGGACGGGUGAGGAAUACAUCGGAAUCUACUUUUUCGUGGGGGAUAACGUAGGGAAACUUACGCUAAUACCGCAUACGACCUACGGGUGAAAGCAGGGGAUCUUCGGACCUUGCGCGAUUGAAUGAGCCGAUGUCGGAUUAGCUAGUUGGCGGGGUAAAGGCCCACCAAGGCGACGAUCCGUAGCUGGUCUGAGAGGCUGAUCAGCCACACUGGAACUGAGACACGGUCCAGACUCCUACGGGAGGCAGCAGUGGGGAAUAUUGGACAAUGGGCGCAAGCCUGAUCCAGCCAUACCGCGUGGGUGAAGAAGGCCUUCGGGUUGUAAAGCCCUUUUGUUGGGGAGGAAAAGCAGCAGGUUAAUACCCCGCUGUUCUGACGGUACCCAAAGAAUAAGCACCGGCUAACUUCGUG
rnacentral:rRNA from 1 species